CUCUGACCAUUGUGGGCAGUCGAAGCCCGAAGCGCUGCACAAGCUCCGGGAAGGCGGGACGGAGGAGGAGCUGUGUUGGAAAAGCGGAAUGUGUCUGAAUGCCGGGGUUGGAUUACCGAAAGUCUGCAAAGCCUAUUUCUGUUGCAAGCAGUGUGCCUCUGGCCGUGCCUCUGUCUGCGAGUGAGCUCCGAGCGUUUUUACUUCUACCUUAUUUUGUCCCUUGCUGUAGUUUAAUAAAUUUUUUUAAAUUUUAAGAACGGACACGUCGUUUCUCACAACAAAGAAAAAAAAAUCACUUGAUUUUUACGGGGAAAAAGUCAAGAUCAAUUACUUCGGGGGUGUGGAAAUCUAACGGAGACAAAUUUGUAAAAUCAUUUCCGAGUCCUCUGUGAUUGCACCAAGCCUUGGGAAACAACAGCAGAAUUGGGAACAGAGAGGAGCCAGCAGGACAGGAAUGGGGAGCUCCUGCUGACCUGGCCACUUUCUCCUUCAUGUCCCUGACCCGGCAGGAGCCGCUUUAGGACAUGGAUCCCAAAGGAGCAAGAGGGACCAGGAAGCGCCGCUGAUCUGCACAGACCCCUUUGCCUGCUGCUGCCCCACAGGGAACAGGAGCCGCUUUAGGACAUGGAUCCCAAAGGAGCAAGAGGGACCAGGAAGCACCACUGAUCUGCACAGACCCCUUUGCCUGCUGCUGCCCCACAGGGAACAGGGAGCUGCUCAGGAGCCACAUGGUCCAUCCCUGGAUUCUCCAAGCACUGACUGCCCAUCCACUCUGACCACAGCCAGGGGCCACAUCCCACUGCCUGCCCAGCGUCCAUCCAUGGAGGUGACCACCGUGUCCCCAUCUCCUGCCUCACCCACUGAAGGAGAUGAUCUGUGUGAGACAGAUGUCACCACUGUGGCCAUACACAGUGUGACACUGCUCAUCUGCCUCUGUGGGCUGGCUGGGAACGGGGCUGUCAUCGGCCUCCUCAGCCUGCAAAGUGGUUUUUUCAGCUGGCUGAGGCAGAGAAGUUCCCUGGACUGUGGUUUUCCUUUGGCUUGGAACUGUUCAAACCUGCUCUGGACUGAAAACCCAGAAGAGCACCAGGAGCUCACACCUGUGGCCCACCGGGGCCUGGGACGCGGCAUUUUCCAGCACCAGAGGGACUGAUAAGGGACUGAGUGAGCCAAACUACACUCCACAACAAGGACUGUCUGAAUUUGCCAACUCUUCAGAAUAGCAAGAGAUUUUAUUGCUUCAUAUUGUUUUCAUUUACUAUGCUUGUGAGUACUUUCCUUGUUAAAUAAAGAGUUUUUUCCCCUUC